AGUGAACGCUGGCGGCGUGCCUAAUACAUGCAAGUCGAACGGAGUGGCGCACGGGUGAGUAAUGUAUAGCUAAUCUGCCCUACACUAGAGGACAACAGUUGGAAACGACUGCUAAUACUCUCUAGUGUAGGAUGGAGCUAUAUUGUAUCAGCUAGUUGGUGAGGUAAUGGCUCACCAAGGGUAUGACGCAUCACUGGUCUGAGAGGAUGAUGAGUCACAUGGGAAGUGAGACACGGUCCGGAAUUCUAGGGGAGGGAGCAGUAGGGAAUAUUGCUCAAGGGGCGAAACCCUGAAGCAGCUACGCCGCGUGGAGGAUGACAAUUGGCGGGGCGUAAACUGUGGUUGAUAGGGAAGCGGUACCUAACGAAUAAGCACCGGCUAACUCCGUGCCAGCAGCCGCGGUAAUAC
rnacentral:rRNA from 1 species